AGAUAAUGAACUUGUUAAGUAUAUGUCUUGAAAACAUAAUAAAGGUAAAAUUACCUAUUGUCUU
rnacentral:tRNA from 1 species